GUCUUUCUUCAUUUCUGAAUAUGUCACGAGUUCCCUUACAUGGUCCAAUCCAGAAUUACAAAUAUCAAAAACCAAGAAGGUCUUAACAACUUAACCAGUAUGGUCCAUCAUUCAUCAAUACAUAUUCUAGAAAUAAAGUUUAGAGGCUGUUAAUCUUGAUAAAGAUUCCUUCCAAGAACUGUAGGCAGAUAAUGCACGCAUCCCAAGUCCACAUCCUAUAGAAGCCUCUUUUUCAUAUCAAGUAUCAAUAGUAUGAUCCAGACCCGC
rnacentral:misc_RNA from 1 species